AGUCACAAAUCAUCGCGUCGCCUUCGCUGGUCCCUUUCUCUUAUCGAGCCUCAGUUUUCUCUUCCAUAAGCCGGGCCAGCAGUGCCCACCCCACAGGUUGGCGCCAGCUCCGUAAGGGCCCUACCACCGCGGCCGGCCAGAUCCUCGGCGGGCCAGUCCUGGCGCUGCGGUCAUUUAGCCUGAUGACCCCUGGCCAGGUUCAGCCUCAAUUGCUCCAAAGAACUCCGGACCCGUACCCCGAGCCCGGCGUCCCAGCGGCGAAGUUGAUGGGCCCCGCAGGAGCCCUUGCGGGCCCUGGAAAUGGGGGAUCUCCUGCCUUGACAGCUCAUCAGUACGUGUGAAAAGCCAACAAGAGUGGAUAUGAUAGGAACUGCAAUCACACAGCACUUUGGAGAAUGUGAAGAUUGGUGCUCACAGCAGAAGUUAACACACUGAUGCUGUGAUCACUGUUCAGUAGGUGGAAUGGUCCUUAGUGAUCCUUGAAGAGUAGCUGCAACUGGAAGACACAGAAUGGAGAGGGUGGAUCAUGCAAAUGAAAAGAUGGGCUCCAACAUUCAGCGGAAGGAAUUUAUGGUUGGUUCCCCCGUUUUUUUGUUGGCGGUGGUGGUUUAUUUUCAUUCCCCAUGCCCGGUCCUUCUGAUGGCACUCACUGAUUUGGCUCUAGGGCACAAGUCUAUGUUGCAUGCAGUCCUGGUGUAACAAUCAAUUGAGGCAUUUCCUGGGCGAGGAGCUGGGACACGGGCCAAGCCAAUCAGACUCUGGUUCCCCCAGGACGCUGAGUCAUAGUGGAGCCAUGCCAAGACGGAAACAGCUGACCUGCUGUGCUGCUGCCAUGGCUCCCUGAGGAGUGUCCCUCAGUUCCUAAGAGGGGACUGUCUGCACGCUGGCUCUUAUGGGUUGAUUUUGCACUUUUUCUUUGAUUCUGAGAGCUACCCACAUCCUCUCCAAUUCUUGCUCCAGUCAACCAGACACAGUUUCUAUUGCUUGCGGUGGAAGACAUGCCCAUGCAGAAGGCGUCAAGGCUCUUGGGAAGAUGGGGAGUGGCAUGUGUUCUCAUGGUGUUCACAGCUGCACAUGGGAAACACCUCAUUGCCUUCGCACAACAAACCCAAGAGGGAGGGGGUUCCUUCCCCAAUUCUGCAAAUGGAAAAACUGAGGCUCAGAGGGGAAAUUGAUCUCUCAGUGUCACAGCCAAUGAAUGACAGAGGGAAAGUUGUGGUCCAGGGCUGAGUCCGGGUUCCACAGUGUGUAGAUGAAUUUCUUCAACCCCUUCAUCAUGUGACAAGAGCCACAAGGUCUCCAGGCCUCCUGGACAUGACAGGUGUUUGCUCACAAACUGAAACUUUCUCUGCUGGGUCACACCCUCCUCGCCCAUCCCUACUCUUGGUGCAGGGCAUGAGCUGGACCCUGGAAGACCAAUGGGUAUUCAACUUUCAGAAAGCCUUGGCGAGGUCUAGUGAUGAAAUAAUUUUGUCAUUUGGAAUGCUGACAAAAAAAAUUUGAAUUUUUCGGCCA
rnacentral:lncRNA from 1 species